UACGGAGGGGGCAAGCGUUGUUCGGAAUUACUGGGCGUAAAGGGCGCGCAGGCGGCUGCUCAAGUCAGGCGUGAAAGGCCUGGGCUCAACCCGGGAAUUGCGCUUGAGACUGGGCUGGCUUGAGUGCGGGAGAGGAUGGUGGAAUUCCCAGUGUAGAGGUGAAAUUCGUAGAUAUUGGGAAGAACACCGGUGGCGAAGGCGGCCAUCUGGACCGCAACUGACGCUGAGGCGCGAAAAGCUAGGGGAGCAAACGGGG
rnacentral:rRNA from 1 species